GUGCCAGCCGCCGCGGUAAUACCGGCAGCCCAAGUGAUGGCCGAUCUUAUUGGGCCUAAAGCGUCCGUAGCUGGCCGCGCAAGUCCAUCGGAAAAUCCACCCGCCCAACGGGUGGGCGUCCGGUGGAAACUGCGUGGCUUGGGACCGGAAGACCGAAGGGGUACGUCCGGGGUAGGAGUGAAAUCCUGUAAUCCUGGACGGACCACCGGUGGCGAAAGCGCCUUCGGAAGACGGAUCCGACAGUGAGGGACGAAAGCCAGGGUCUCCAACCGGAUUAGAUACCCCGGUAGUCC
rnacentral:rRNA from 1 species